UUACAGUAAUGUUUUAUUUGUUAGCAUAGCAUGAUAUUAGAUUUAAACACUUAAUACAUUUUUAAAUCAAUCACUUUGUCUCUGCACAAUGAACAUUAUCAAAUAUUAUUAAUGUUGUAAAAUAUAUUGUUCAUUGUUAGUUCAUAUUAGCUAAGGCAUUACCAAAUGUUAAGGAAUAAACUCUUAUAGUAAAGUGUUACUAAGUUUUCUUUUACCAUUUCCUUCACAAUGUCUACUUAUUUCUAUGGCUAACAGAUUUUGUAACAUUUGUCUUUUUUACAGUCUUACCAUUGCUUGUAAGUCGGAUUGGGUAAGAUGGAUCAUCUUUAAAGGCACCAGGCAAGUACAUGAUGUACAGUUACAAGUCAUGUAUUUUUUGACUGCAAUAUUAAAUGCUUUCACGUCACAUGUAAAAGUACACAGGAAUGUGCUGAUCACUUUUUAUUUGUAGUUUACAUGAGUGUCAUUGCACUUUUCAGGAGUUAAGGCAGAUGUGGAGGCACAAUGGGUGACACCAGACACACACCAAGCACAUUAUGUUCGGACAUUCAAUCAUGACAGGAUCCAUGUGGAUGCUGUCCAUUGAGGAAAGAGUUUGUUCAGCGGUUUCUGGAUAUAAUUAAUUCCAAAGAUGGGAAAAAGUGCACAUCCAGACAAGGAGCAAGCAAAAAGACAAGGAACUUGGUGCAGAGAAAAGCUGUGGCCAUUGACCCCCAUGUGAACAGCUUCAUGCAGUCCCUGAUUGAGUUCGAAUGGACGACUUCAAAGUAAAGGCCACUGUGGUCUGUCUGCCACAGUUUAAUGCAUUUAUUUUUAGUGUUAAAUGAAAUUUAAGUAGAAUAUUUAAAACUAUGGGCCAGUGUUCUUUUUACCACAGUGAAAUGUUACCUUUUAGACGAUGAUGGACUUUAAACUGAAAACUUCAAACUAUGGAAGAGUGUUCUAUUUGCCAGAGUUAAAUAUGUUACAGCAGGGGUCUCCAAACUUGUUUAUACUUGUUGAUUUUAUUUUAUGUUACUUGAUUAUAUGUUUAUUAUUGUUUAAAAUCUUGUUUUAAAUAUGUUUUGUUUCGAUUAAAUGUUUUUUAAAUAAAAUUUUGAUACAAACAUUGCUUGGAUUGCCUUUUAAUUCAUUAUGUCAUGUCAAGGAUAGCAUUUUUACCAUAUUAAUAACUAUAGAUUUAAACCUAAAUAUCUAGCUAUUUUAUAUAAUAUUAUUGUAUUAACUGUAAUAAGUAAUAAAUAGUAUUUAUGGGUCAAUAUAGACAUUACAGUAAAUUACUGUAAAAAUAGACUACUGUAAUAAAAUAUUGUAAAAUUACAGUACAGUACUGCUUUGUAACUAUACAGUACUAGUUUGUGUACUGUAAAAUGGUAUUACAGUACAGUACUGUAAAACCAAAAUACAGUAACUUACUGGCAACCGUGCUGCCAGUACCGUACUGUAAAAAUACAGGGAAAUCGU